CAGGCAGGGAUUAUACAAUAGUGUGAAUCACUGGAGGCCAUUGUAUAGGUAGUUUGUGGCAUAAGGUGGUGCAAAUGGGGGAAGGUUAUUGAACACAUUAUGUUUUCUUGUUAACCUAUUUCCAAUGUAGCAGUACCAUGUGUUAUAAAAAUAACCCUAAUGCCAUAAUGAAACCUGGAAGAAUCUUGACAGUUGCCUGAAGUUUAAUCAGAUUGCUUUCUGUGAUAACAUUGGUAGCAUGGACGUUUUGACCGUGUGUGUAGGAGUAGGUAUGUAAUUCCAGAGCACAGAUCUCUUUGUUCCAAAGACUGGCUGUCCAGACUGGAGUGAAGGAAAGGUGUUUAGCCAGAGGGAAGCAUCAAGACAAUUAAAUUCUGGGAGGAGAGCAAUGAAAAGCAGUUGAGGAAAUGGAACAGGUUUUGAAUGAGCAUGGAGACCCAGAGAGAAGAUGAGGCGGCGGCGAUGCGAUGGUUGUGUGGACACCUUGGCAGGAACACUUCAAAUGGAAGAAUGCCGGGAGGUCUCACUUGCUUUGCCCCCGCCCCAGCAGAGGCUCAUGAGUUCAGGUGUCUGAUCAUGAAUCUGAGAUAAUGAUUCUGCACAAAGACCACAUCCUGUUAAAUAAUUAGUUCUUGAGUCCAUUGGUUUUACUUGAUUUGGGAAAACAAGAGCCUGAUCCUGA